rnacentral:rRNA from 1 species
CCUACGGGGGGCUGCAGUGGGGAAUCUUAGACAAUGGGGGAAACCCUGAUCUAGCCAUGCCGCGUGAUCGAUGAAGGCCUUAGGGUUGUAAAGAUCUUUCAGAUGGGAAGAUAAUGACGGUACCAUCAGAAGAAGCCCCGGCUAACUCCGUGCCAGCAGCCGCGGUAAUACGGAGGGGGCUAGCGUUAUUCGGAAUUACUGGGCGUAAAGCGCACGUAGGCGGAUUGGAAAGUUGGAGGUGAAAUCCCAGGGCUCAACCUUGGAACUGCCUUCAAAACUCCCAGUCUUGAGUUCGAGAGAGGUGAGUGGAAUUCCGAGUGUAGAGGUGAAAUUCGUAGAUAUUCGGAGGAACACCAGUGGCGAAGGCGGCUCACUGGCUCGAUACUGACGCUGAGGUGCGAAAGCGUGGGGAGCAAACAGGAUUAGAUACCCCAGUAGUC